UUGUGCCCCUAUAGCCAAGCUGCAACUUUUAGUCUAAGUCACAAAGGAGGAAAAUCCUGCCUCAUAUAACCAGCCCACAAGUUAUUGAACUGAAGUUAUCAUAGAUUAUAUAAUGGUGUAUGGAAAAUGAAGAUCAGCAUAAUACCAUCCAUAUAACUGGCAAUUAAUCAUGUCUUGUAAAGUGCUCCCUGUCUUUCAUCUUGUGUAGAAGAAAACAAAAAUGUACCGCCAGGGAACAUCUGAAACAUGCAUCCUGCUUCUGAACAGCCUGCCUGCUGCAUAAGGACUCAUGAUGUUUAUUUGCACUUUCUUAAUCACAAUCUUUGUAUCUCACCACCCCUCACUGCUCCUCCCUAUGCCAAAGCCACAAAAAGUCAAGGAGUUUGUAACUCCCAAUGCCCUGCAAUCCCUGCUCUGCAGACAGAGAUUCUGGCAGAAAAGCCUGGAUUGAGAGAUCUCAAACGCAUUUUAUGUGGACCUCAAACAAAUUUUAAGUGGAUCCACCGAAGAAGAAGAUCUAAAUGAACAGAAAUUUGCGUUGUGCAAGCUCUAGCAAUAAAGGCAUCUGUUUGAAAAUAAGUUUUAAGCCACUAGAUUAUGGGGCUACUGAAAUGAUAUGCAGGCGUCACAGACGUUAGAUUUAAACAGGAAUUUCUGCUCACCAAGCUAAAUUUUAAAUAUACAUUUGCCAACUUCAGAACUGCUCUAGAACCCAUAGUCAAAGGCUUAUUUCUAAAUUUAUCCCAAAUAAAUUCUUCCACUUCAAUCAGGAAUUAUUCUUUCAUUUAUUUUUUUACAGUUUUAUUUAAACUGGUUUUCAUCCUCUUGGUUGAACAGUUGUUUGAAAUGAGAGCUCAUCCCCUCACUUGUGGAAAUUUAAACAGGAACAGGAUAUGAAUUUAAGGCAAUUUUUAUUAUUCCCUUGUGUUUUACCUCCUCCAAAUUUUGUAAUUCCUAGCUACCUAUAUUAAAUAUUUUGGAAACAAAAUACACUAAAAGCCAAAGCUAUAGAUGAUUAGAGGUGCAGUAACAAUAAUCACUGCAAAAUAAGGCUAAAUAAAACUAAUCAAGAUUGAUUCAAAUAAGGUUAAACAAUUACAUGAAAUUAAAUUAAUCAAAUGGGUGAUGUCACUGCUAGAUCUG
rnacentral:lncRNA from 1 species